CCAGAAAGGGACGGCUAANUACGUGCCAGCAGCCGCGGUAAUACGUAGGUCCCGAGCGUUGUCCGGAUUUAUUGGGCGUAAAGCGAGCGCAGGCGGUUAGAUAAGUNUGAAGUUAAAGGCUGUGGCUUAACCAUAGUACGCUUUGGAAACUGUUUAACUUGAGUGCAGAAGGGGAGAGUGGAAUUCCAUGUGUAGCGGUGAAAUGCGUAGAUAUAUGGAGGAACACCGGUGGCGAAAGCGGCUCUCUGGUCUGUAACUGACGCUGAGGCUCGAAAGCGUGGGGAGCGAACAGGAUUAGAUACCCUGGUAGUCCACGCCGUAAACGAUGAGUGCUAGGCGUUAGGCCCCUUCCGGGGCUUAGUGCCGCAGCUAACGCAUUAAGCACUCCGCCUGGGGAGUACGACCGCAAGGUUGAAACUCAAAGGAAUUGACGGGGGCCCGCACAAGCGGUGGAGCAUGUGGUUUAAUUCGAAGCAACACGAAGAACCUUACCAGGUCUUGACAUCCCGAUGCCCGCUCUAGAGAUAGAGUUUUACUUCGGUACAUCGGUGACAGGUGGUGCAUGGUUGUCGUCAGCUCGUGUCGUGAGAUGUUGGGUUAAGUCCCGCAACGAGCGCAACCCUUAUUGUUAGUUGCCAUCAUUCAGUUGGGCACUCUAGCGAGACUGCCGGUAAUAAACCGGAGGAAGGUGGGGAUGACGUCAAAUCAUCAUGCCCCUUAUGACCUGGGCUACACACGUGCUACAAUGGCUGGUACAACGAGUCGCAAGUCGGUGACGGCAAGCUAAUCUCUUAAAGCCAGUCUCAGUUCGGAUUGUAGGCUGCAACUCGCCUACAUGAAGUCGGAAUCGCUAGUAAUCGCGGAUCAGCACGCCGCGGUGAAUACGUUCCCGGGCCUUGUACACACCGCCCGUCACACCACGAGAGUUUGUAACACCCGAAGUCGGUGAGGUAACCUUUUA
rnacentral:rRNA from 1 species